CUCGUAGGCGGUUCGUCGCGUCCGGUGUGAAAGUCCAUCGCCUAACGGUGGAUCUGCGCCGGGUACGGGCGGGCUGGAGUGCGGUAGGGGAGACUGGAAUUCCCGGUGUAACGGUGGAAUGUGUAGAUAUCGGGAAGAACACCAAUGGCGAAGGCAGGUCUCUAGGCCGUUACUGACGCUGAGGAGCGAAAGCGUGGGGAGCGAACA
rnacentral:rRNA from 1 species